rnacentral:rRNA from 1 species
GACGAACGCUGGCGGCGUGCUUAACACAUGCAAGUGGAGCGACGAACCAGGGUUUGCCCUGGGGCAGAGCCGCGAACGGGUGAGUAACACGUGAGUAACCUGCCCCGAUGACCGGGACAACCCGAGGAAACUCGGGCUAAUACCGGAUGUUGUGCACACACGUGAGUGUGUUCACCAAAGGAAGCUUCGGCCUCCGCAUCGGGAGGGGCUCGCGGCCCAUUAGCUAGUUGGUCGGGGUAACGGCCCACCAAGGCAACGAUGGGUAGCUGGUCUGAGAGGACGAUCAGCCACACUGGGACUGAGACACGGCCCAGACUCCUACGGGAGGCAGCAGUGGGGAAUCUUGCGCAAUGCGCGAAAGCGUGACGCAGCAACGCCGCGUGAGGGAAGAAGGCCUUCGGGUUGUAAACCUCUUUCAGGAGGGACGAAGGCUCACCGGUGAAUAGCCGAGUGGGUUGACGGUACCUCCAGAAGAAGCCCCGGCUAACUACGUGCCAGCCGCCGCCGUAAAAC